rnacentral:ncRNA from 1 species
GUUAAUGCGAGGAAGUGAAAUAGUAAUCAUGGAAAGUGUCCAGAGAGAGGACGGCAGGUGCGAGUCUUUCACGGAACAUGAUGAACCGGUCAUGGAGCUGCAUACCGAAUGGAAACAUCAGGCUAUGCCGGGUUCUCCCGUUACAGAGAUAAGGUAUCAAUGAAAAUUUGUACCGGAGUGCAGGAACAUCCUGAAAUUAGGUGGUACCGCGGAUUAAGAUAAUUCGUCCUAAGC